GAGUUCAAGAGUACGUGAAACCGUUCAGGGGUAAACGGGAGAAAUCCUGAAUUCGAAGGGGAUUGGAUUCAAUUCCGCCCGGUUGUUCAGGCCACCUGGCCCCACCAGAUGGCGCUGGUCGCCCACAGCGGUUCAUUUCGCUCGUGGUGUCGUUCCUGGCGAUCACUCGGUGGGGUGGUGUUACUCUGGCACCGGAGGAGUGCACUUCCUCCCUUGUAGAAACGUCGCGACCCGUUGGGUGCCGGUCUAAGGCCCGGGAUGGCAGACCAUGUAUCCUGUGCCUCAAUCACAGGUGCGUGGACUCCUGGUGACCCGGCCGGCUGCUCGACGGUAUGACCAGAGGAGUCGAUCCGCUGAAUGGGAAACACUAUGGUUGUGUAGCGUCCGGCCCGGCGCCGACACGUGCGGAGAAUGUGGUGUAUACCGGGGGUGUCCGUGCAGAAGCACGGCCCCGGCUCCGCUGCGCUGUUGGAUCCGUCGGUGUCCUCGGACUGGAUCAGCACUCCCGUCGGCGACGCCCACCUUCGGAUGGUCUCC
rnacentral:rRNA from 1 species